CCAACACUGCCUUCCUCCCUCUGCCCUCCCUUACUCUUCUUCCUCAAGCCCUCCGUCUAUCCAUCCAUCCUUCGCCUUCUAAUUUCCUCAAACCCCCCCUAGUCCUCCCUCCUCACUUCAAGGCAGCAUCAGAAGGUUUUUGAAAACACUUCCAGGAACAUUUCAAGUGCCUCAUUUUCAUUCUUUAUGUUCGUUUUCAUGCUCCAUACAUCUGCAGUCUCAAGAUACAUACGUGCUGGGAGAUUUCAGGGGAAACGUCUGGACUUCGGUGCAUCUCUGAAAACAGCUUAA